AAAAAGGGCUUCUGUCAUGAGUGGCACACAUAGGGCAACCUGAUUGCUCUGCAUGUGGAAUCAACAUCAAGAGAUUUGGGAAGCAUAAUUUCUUGGUGAUCAUUGGUUCCCGUGUGUGUGUGUCGGGGGGAAUAACCA